CAUGGUAUUCUUCUUAGAUCAAUUUACACAACAAAUCUAUUACAAUCAGUUCACAGAAGACCUGACAUUCAAAAAUUGGCAGCUACAACAUUGUUUGUAUAUCAAUUUACAGAACUCAACAUCAAUAUUUUCGAUAAUCCAUAUGCAUUCAUGCUAUAGAUAAAAAGGGCAAAGCAACUCUACCGCCCUGCUGCAGAACGCACCGGACACGGGGCAGCGCCCGUCAGCAGCCGCUCGGUGUCCUGCACCCGAUGGAGACGAGCGGCAGUGGCCCUCCGCGCCCGGAGCUGCUCCCUACGACGGUCGGUGAGGCGAGUGAGGCGGGCUCCGGCAGUCGGACAGCACGGGCGGAGGCGAGCACACGCGUGCGGAGGUGGGCGGUGCUCGGUGGCGGGGCGGAGGCAAGCUCCGGCGAGCGGCGCCCAGUAGCGCGGGCGGAGGCAAGCUCCGGCGGGCGGCGCCCGGUGGCGCGGGCGGAGGCAAGCUCCGGCGGGCAGACAUGGGCGGAGGCGGUGGCGCCCGGUGGCGCGAGCGGACGCGGGGGCGUUGUACCUCCUUGUCCUCCUGGCCGUCGACGUCGUCGUUGGCGCCGUCGUUGGAGAGCGCCGCUCCCGGUUGUCCUUGGCCAGCGUGGUGUCGAGGAGCGCCCUCAUUCCGGUGAGGGGACUAGGCGGGAUCCGGCGAGGGCACGAGGCUGGGUCAGGCGAGGGAACGAGGCGGGGUCCAGUGAGGGGACGCGGCGUUAGUGUCCGGCGAGGGGACGCGGCGUCGGUGUCCGGCGAGGCAGAGGAGUGGUGGUGCGGUGGUGCGGUGGGGAUCGAAAGAACGGGGCUGGAGAUUGGAUCGAGCGUGGUUGGGUGGGGAUUUUUGUGGAUGGGGUGUGGG
rnacentral:rRNA from 1 species